AGAGUUUGAUCCUGGCUCAGGACGAACGCUGGCGGCGUGCCUAAUACAUGCAAGUCGAGCGAGCUUGCCUAGAUGAUUUUAGUGCUUGCACUAAAUGAAACUAGAUACAAGCGAGCGGCGGACGGGUGAGUAACACGUGGGUAACCUGCCCAAGAGACUGGGAUAACACCUGGAAACAGAUGCUAAUACCGGAUAACAACACUAGACGCAUGUCUAGAGUUUGAAAGAUGGUUCUGCUAUCACUCUUGGAUGGACCUGCGGUGCAUUAGCUAGUUGGUAAGGCAACGGCUUACCAAGGCAAUGAUGCAUAGCCGAGUUGAGAGACUGAUCGGCCACAUUGGGACUGAGACACGGCCCAAACUCCUACGGGAGGCAGCAGUAGGGAAUCUUCCACAAUGGACGAAAGUCUGAUGGAGCAACGCCGCGUGAGUGAAGAAGGGUUUCGGCUCGUAAAGCUCUGUUGGUAGUGAAGAAAGAUAGAGGUAGUAACUGGCCUUUAUUUGACGGUAAUUACUUAGAAAGUCACGGCUAACUACGUGCCAGCAGCCGCGGUAAUACGUA
rnacentral:rRNA from 1 species